rnacentral:sRNA from 10 species
UUGCGUUAAGGAUUGAAGUGGCAUCCUUUUUUUGCUGCCACAUAUGGCAAAAAAAGAUAUAACUGAAAGCCUGACCUAUA